rnacentral:rRNA from 1 species
CAUGCAAGUCGAACGAUGACUUUUGUGCUUGCACAGAAUGAUUAGUGGCGAACGGGUGAGUAACACGUGAGUAACCUGCCCCUGACUCUGGGAUAAGCCUGGGAAACUGGGUCUAAUACCGGAUAUGCACCGUGGACCGCAUGGUUCUUGGUGGAAAGAUUUUUUGGUCAGGGAUGGACUCGCGGCCUAUCAGCUUGUUGGUGAGGUAAUGGCUCACCAAGGCGACGACGGGUAGCCGGCCUGAGAGGGUGACCGGCCACACUGGGACUGAGACACGGCCCAGACUCCUACGGGAGGCAGCAGUGGGGAAUAUUGCACAAUGGGCGAAAGCCUGAUGCAGCGACGCCGCGUGAGGGAUGACGGCCUUCGGGUUGUAAACCUCUUUCAGUAGGGAAGAAGCGAAAGUGACGGUACCUGCAGAAGAAGCGCCGGCUAACUACGUGCCAGCAGCCGCGGUAAUACGUAGGGCGCAAGCGUUAUCCGGAAUUAUUGGGCGUAAAGAGCUCGUAGGCGGUUUGUCGCGUCUGCCGUGAAAGUCCGAGGCUCAACCUCGGAUCUGCGGUGGGUACGGGCAGACUAGAGUGAUGUAGGGGAGACUGGAAUUCCUGGUGUAGCGGUGAAAUGCGCAGAUAUCAGGAGGAACACCGAUGGCGAAGGCAGGUCUCUGGGCAUUAACUGACGCUGAGGAGCGAAAGCAUGGGGAGCGAACAGGAUUAGAUACCCUGGUAGUCCAUGCCGUAAACGUUGGGCACUAGGUGUGGGGGACAUUCCACGUUUUCCGCGCCGUAGCUAACGCAUUAAGUGCCCCGCCUGGGGAAGUACGGCCGCAAGGCUAAACUCAAAGGAAUUGACGGGGGCC